CAGUAACGGCGAGUGAAGCGGCAACAGCUCAAAUUUGAAAUCUGGCUCCUUCGGGGUCCGAAUUGUAAUUUGUAGAGAGUGCUUCGGGCGAGACCUCGGUCUAAGUCCAUUGGAACAUGGUGUCAUAGAGGGUGAGAAUCCCGUAUGCGACCGUGGCUCGAGCCCAUGUGAAGCCUCUUCGACGAGUCGAGUUGUUUGGGAAUGCAGCUCAAAAUGGGUGGUAAAUUUCAUCUAAAGCUAAAUACUGGCUGGAGACCGAUAGCGCACAAGUAGAGUGAUCGAAAGAUGAAAAGCACUUUGGAAAGAGAGUCAAACAGUACGUGAAAUUGUUGAAAGGGAAGCGCUUGCAACCAGACCUGCCCGUAGGCGAUCAGCCGCUGUUCUCAGCGGUGUACUCGCUCUGCGAUCAGGCCAGCAUCGGUUUCGGCGGUCGGAUAAAGGCCUUGGGAAUGUAGCUUCCCUUCGGGGGAGUCUUAUAGCCCUCGGUGUAAUGCGGCCAGCCGGGACCGAGGACCGCGCUUCGGCUAGGAUGCUGGCGUAAUGGUUGUAAGCGACCCGUCUUGAAACACGGACCAAGGAGUCUAACAUCUAUGCGAGUGUUUGGGUGUCAAACCCAUACGCGGAAUGAAAGUGAACGGAGGUGAGAACCCUUAAGGGCGCAUCAUCGACCGAUCCAGAUGUCUUCGGAUGGAUUUGAGUAUGAGCAUAGCUGUUGGGACCCGAAAGAUGGUGAACUAUGCCUGAAUAGGGUGAAGCCAGAGGAAACUCUGGUGGAGGCUCGCAGCGGUUCUGACGUGCAAAUCGAUCGUCAAAUUUGGGUAUAGGGGCGAAAGACUAAUC
rnacentral:rRNA from 1 species